UUAGGCAGCUGGCCCUGCUGCUGUCACUCCCUGGACCCUCAGUGAUGCUGCCUUUUUAAGCCCUUUGCUUGUAGCUAAAGAUUUACAUCCAUUUUUUCCCCUCCUGCCUAUGCAUCUGUGGAUGAAAAUCGGAAUGGAGGAGUGCUACAUGCAGCUUUCACUUCUUCAUUUCCUGGGUGUUCCUAGACACAGACAAAUGAUGCCAGUGGCUAGUGCCACCACCUGUCCAGAGGACACCAAGGACAGCUCCGCUUAUCAAAGCUAGGUGGUACAAUGAAUAGAGUGUUGGACUUGGAAUCCAGAAGACCCGAGUUCAAAUCCUCCUUCUGACACUAACUUCCUGUCUAAACCUGGAAAAAACAAUUAGCUACUCUCAGCCUUGGCAGAAUGGUGAUAAUAAUACAACCUACCUCACAGGAAUGUGAGCAUCAAAUGAGAUAAUAUGAAUAAAAUACUUUGUAAACCUGUAAGAGCUAUGCAAAGGUUGGAAGCUUCUUGAGCAAGUGGGGGAUAUUUUAUUCUUCUUCUGAACCUGGCAAGACACCUACCAUCAUGGAGUCAGAGGACAAGAUAUGGAUACAUACUAACAUAUAAUGUGACCAUAUGGAAGCUUGGGGUAAUGGGGAUAUUUCUGGUUAUGUAUCAUUCAUCCAUGAGGGACUUUUAAUGAAAGAUGGCAAAGAGUCUCCUAACUGACUGCUGAACUGGUAAGUGUUCAAAAGGAGCUAUGGGAUGCCUGCCUUUCUUUUUCAUUUCCAGCUUCAAAUUGUGAGGACUGAGCUUCAUUCUGGGACUUGGGUGGGGGAAACAGAUUGCUCUGUCUCCACCUACCUUCCAUGUGAGCACUUGGAGACCUCUGCCUCUUUUGAGUUUAUUUCUUUUUUGCCUUAGAUGGUUGAUAUGUCCAGGAUUGGCAGUGACAAUCUAAGUUCUAAAAGGUCUGAAGGUCCUGGGAAGCCUAAGAGUAUAAUAGAAGAUGUCAAGGGAAGCUUCUACAUAGGAGAUGGAGGACAUCAAAAAGAAGAUCACAUUUGGUUGUCUGAUCCAAGAGUGCAAUGCUGAAGUGAAAAACAUAAUGUAGAAUUAGCAGCUUUGCAAAACUGUUUAAUAUUCUGCUGAAGCUUAAAUAUUAUCCUCCCAGUUCCAAUAUUCAUAGUUAUAAUUAAAAUGAUCAAAAGG